rnacentral:rRNA from 1 species
GAUGAACGCUGGCGGCGUGCCUAAUACAUGCAAGUCGAGCGAACAGACGAGGAGCUUGCUCCUCUGACGUUAGCGGCGGACGGGUGAGUAACACGUGGAUAACCUACCUAUAAGACUGGGAUAACUUCGGGAAACCGGAGCUAAUACCGGAUAAUAUAUUGAACCGCAUGGUUCAAUAGUGAAAUACGGUUUUGCUGUCACUUAUAGAUGGAUCCGCGCCGCAUUAGCUAGUUGGUAAGGUAACGGCUUACCAAGGCAACGAUGCGUAGCCGACCUGAGAGGGUGAUCGGCCACACUGGAACUGAGACACGGUCCAGACUCCUACGGGAGGCAGCAGUAGGGAAUCUUCCGCAAUGGGCGAAAGCCUGACGGAGCAAAGCCGCGUGAGUGAUGAAGGUCUUCGGAUCGGAAAACUCUGUUAUUAGGGAAGAACAAAUGUGUAAGUAACUAUGCACGUCUUGACGGUACCUAAUCAGAAAGCCACGGCUAACUACGUG